rnacentral:sRNA from 1 species
GACCGCGGCCGGGGCUCCGGGAGCGGGGUAACGUGGCUGCAGCCUUAGCGACAUCAGGAAGAACAGGGUCGAGGAUAGAGGCGAGGAAUUGCCUUGGCUUCCUUAGGAGGCCCAAUUUAUGCAAUUGGAGGGUUAGAUGACAAUACUUGCUUCAAUGAUGUGGAGAGAUAUGACAUAGAAUCUGAUCAGUGGAGUACAGUGGCACCAAUGAAUACUCCCCGUGGAGGAGUUGGCUCUGUUGCUCUAGUAAACCAUGUUUAUGCAGUAGGUGGCAAUGAUGGAAUGGCUUCUUUAUCUAGCGUGGAGAGAUAUGAUCCACAUCUGGAUAAGUGGAUAGAAGUUAAAGAAAUGGGUCAAAGAAGAGCAGGCAAUGGAGUUAGCAAGCUUCAUGGUUGCUUAUACGUAGUUGGUGGUUUUGAUGAUAAUUCUCCUCUGAGUUCAGUUGAGCGGUAUGACCCCCGAAGCAACAAGUGGGAUUAUGUGGCAGCACUUACUACUCCCAGAGGUGGAGUGGGAAUCGCAACAGUGAUGGGCAAAAUCUUUGCAGUUGGUGGUCAUAAUGGCAAUGCAUACUUAAAUACAGUAGAAGCGUUUGAUCCAGUGCUG